UGACAGUUCGUCCCGCCUCGCCUACCAACGUAGCGGGCAGCGUGACUGGGACGCGGCUGCGCAAGCGCAGUCAGUCCCCGCAGGGCAAUAGGAACAGGAUGUAAAAAGGUUGCAGAAAUAUUCUGGUAAGAUGCUUAUGGACCCGUGGAUGUUCCUAAGAGAUGAAGUCCUGAGUGUGCAGCACAGAUGGAAGGUUUUACCGGUUUUCUGUGGUACCAGAUUGGAUUCCUGCAGGUGGCUUUACACAAGAUAGCAUCUCUCCCUUCACACUUCUGCAAUGGAAGUCCCUGUCUGAUGGCAUGCCUUCAUGGAAGAGAAACCAUAUGGGAGAUGAGUUCUUCAGGAAAAGCCAGGCUCUGUCCGUUCAGGAGCAGUCUGAUCCCUCUCUUUGGCAGUCUUCACAGAGAACUUCU